GACUACAGGGGUAUCUAAUCCUGUUCGCUCCCCACACUUUCGUGCUUUAGCGUCAGUAACGGACCAGUUGACUGCCUUCGCCAUUGGUGUUCUAUCUGAUAUCUACGCAUUUCACUGCUACACCAGAUAUUCCAUCAACCUCUUCCGUACUCUAGGCUUGCAGUUUCUAUGGCAGUUCCGGAGUUAAGCCCCGGGAUUUCACCACUGACUUACAAACCCGCCUGAGCACCCUUUACACCCAGUAAAUCCGGACAACGCUUGCCCCCUACGUAUUACCGCGGCUGCUGGCACGUAGUUAGCCGGGGCUUACUUUAAGGGUACAAUCAAGUCCCGCAUUGCGGGAUUAUUUUUCCCCUUUUACAGAAGUUUACAAGCCAAAGACCCUUCAUCCUUCACGCGGCGUUGCUGCUUCAGCCUUUCGGCCAUUGAGCAAUAUUCCUUACUGCAGCCUCCCGUAGG
rnacentral:rRNA from 1 species